rnacentral:rRNA from 1 species
UACAGAGGUCUCAAGCGUUGUUCGGAUUUAUUGGGCGUAAAGGGUGCGUAGGCCGCAUGGUAAGUCUGGUGUGAAAUCCUGGAGCUCAACUCCAGAAUUGCACUGGAUACUGCCGUGCUAGAGGACUGGAGAGGAGAUUGGAAUUCACGGUGUAGCAGUGAAAUGCGUAGAUAUCGUGAGGAAGACCAGUGGCGAAGGCGAAUCUCUGGACAGUUCCUGACGCUGAGGCACGAAGGCUAGGGGAGCAAAACGGGG